rnacentral:tRNA from 2 species
UCCGCGGUCGUCUAACUGGCAGGACAGCGCCCUUUGAAGGCGCGAAUCUUGGUUCGAAUCCCAGCUGCGGAA